UACGUAGGGAGCGAGUGUUGUCCGGAUUUAUUGUCUGCAAUGAGUUCGUAUUCCACUCACCUGGUCGCUCGUGAAAGAUCAGGGUUCAACCCUGAAAUGUCUAUCGAUACUGAUGUGACUAUCAUACGUUUAGAGGUGAGUGGAAUUCCGAGUGGAACGAUGAGAUGCGUACAUAUUCGUGAGAAACACCAAUUGCUAAGGCAGCUCACUGGCUUCGCUAUCGAUUCUGAGGAGCGAACGCUUAUGGGAGCAAACAUGAUUACAUACCCUCGAUAGACCUAGCUGUAAACGAUGUAUACUACACGUACGAACUGUAUUGACGGUUUCUGUGUCGUAGCUAAGGCGUUAAUGAUCCCGACUGUCCAGUACGGUCGUCAAGACUACUGAUCAUGGGAAUUGAUGUCACCCCGCACAAGCGGUCGUACCAUGUGGUUUAAUUCGAUGAUACCCGUAGAACCUUACCUGGACUUGACAUAUAUUCCUCUAGAUAUAUAGAUAUAGUGUGCAUUAGCGCCCGUAUAGCAGUGUGGUGACAGUGGCGUGUCUGUCAGCCUCGCUGUGCGUGAUGAUGUUUGGCGUUAAGGUCUCCGUCAACCGAUGCGUCAUACGCGCUGAUCGCUUAUGCUUGCCGAGUCAUUUACCUUGGGGAGCUCAUAGGAGACUCCCUGGUGAUAAACCGGAGGAAGGUGGGGCAGGCGUCAAGUCAUCAUGCGCUUUUUGUCCAGGGUUGCACGCAUGCUUCAACGGCAAGUACUACGAGUCGCAAUCCCGCGAGGUGGAGCAAAUCUUUUAAAGCUUGUUUCAGGUCGGAUAGGAGUGUGCACCUCGUCUCCUUGAAGUUGGAGUCGCUAGUAAUCGCAAAUCAGCAAAGUUGCGGUGAAUACGUUCUCGGGGUU
rnacentral:rRNA from 1 species